GUAGGUCAUUUGAGGGAGCGGGGAUGACUCAAACUUGCUCCCAAUUCCAUUUAGGUUUACCUCUACAACAUGAGAAAAGUAUUGUUUUUGAGAAAGUCUUGUGUUAGUUCAAAAGAUUGAUUGACCUCUUGCUCUUUCAACGCCAUCAUUUCAAAACGAAAUGAUCCUACCCACCAUCCGGACUCUCGCUCCCAGCUGGUAAGAAUGAAAUCGAGGUGCUACUUACAGAGUAGAUUUGAACACGAUUGCCUCUGCUUUACAGAAGAAUGGUAGAGCCUGGUGCUGGUUAUCCAUCUUUCUCAAACUGAAAAAACUGUCUGAUCUGAGAAAUCCUUAUCUCUCAACCAAAGUUGUACAAGUAUGUUAUAUAUGUAAUAUGUAUAAGGGAGAUAUAUACACAUUUUAGCACUGGUUUUUUACCGUGCUAAUAUAUUUUCUCUAUAAACUCUACUUAAGCAUCAUAUAUGAAAAGACAACAGACAAUUAUCCUGUAUGGUGAUGGUUUGGAUACAUGGUACUUUCUGUUGAAUUGUCGAA